CUUGUUGGGUGAGGUAGUGGCUCACCAAGGCGACGACGGGUAGCCGGCCUGAGAGGGCGACCGGCCACACUGGGACUGAGACACGGCCCAGACUCCUACGGGAGGCAGCAGUGGGGAAUAUUGCACAAUGGGCGCAAGCCUGAUGCAGCGACGCCGCGUGAGGGAUGACGGCCUUCGGGUUGUAAACCUCUUUCAGCAGGGAAGAAGCGAAAGUGACGGUACCUGCAGAAGAAGCGCCGGCUAACUACGUGCCAGCAGCCGCGGUAAUACGUAGGGCGCAAGCGUUGUCCGGAAUUAUUGGGCGUAAAGAGCUCGUAGGCGGCUUGUCGCGUCGGUUGUGAAAGCCCGGGGCUUAACCCCGGGUCUGCAGUCGAUACGGGCAGGCUAGAGUUCGGUAGGGGAGAUCGGAAUUCCUGGUGUA
rnacentral:rRNA from 1 species